UGACCUCGGAUCAGUGGUGGGUACCCGCUGAACUUAAGCAUAUCAAUAAGCGGAGGAGAAGAAACCAACCAGGAUUCCCUCAGUAACGGCGAGUGAAGAGGGAGAAGCCCAGUGCAGAAGCCUGCGGCAGGUUUGUCGGUAGGCCAUGUGGUGUGUGGGUUGGCUGGCGGGACCGCCGCUCCACUCCAAGUCCAGCAUUGAGUAUGGUUGUGAGUGAAUGUGGCCCAUAGAGGGUGAUAGGCCCGUAGGAGUGGGGGCUCAGGCAGGUGAGGCGGUUCACCAGGCCGGCUUAGGAGUCGGGUUGUUUGAGAUUGCAGCCCAAAGUGGGUGGUAAACUCCAUCCAAGGCUAAAUACAGGCACGAGUCCGAUAGCGGACAAGUACCGUGAGGAAAAGUUGAAAAGUACUCUGAAGAGAGAGCAAAGAGUGCGUGAAACCGCGUGCAGGUAAGCGGGUGGCGACAAGCUGCUAGCCGGGAGGACUCAGCUGGCUGCAGUGUAGGUGCGCGCCUAGUGCGUCACCGUUAAUGGGCCGGGAAGAGGCGGUGAUCUGCUCCUUGUGGGGGAGUGGAGCAUGACUGCGAUCGCGGGCCACUGUUUCUCUUUCACCACGCCGCCGUCUAUUCUGUCUGUCUGCCUAUCUAUCUGUCCGCCUGUGUCCGCCUAUCUCUGCUGCGGUGGGUGGACUGGUGGUUAGGUGGGUGGGUGCGUGCGUGAAUAUGCGGAGGGCGGGGUGGUGUGAGUGGUCCGUGGAUCCGAGGUUGCGGUAUGUGCUAUGCGUGUCGGACGGGUGCCAGAGCAUGCCACUCGCCUGUGGGCCUUGCAGUCAGUGCACUUUCUCCGUGGCGGACACCACGACCGGUGGGGUUGCCAGUCUUCCGUGGUCGAGUCGUGCCCACCUGGUAGUUCUUCUCCUCCUCCUCCUCUUGCUCCCCGUCGCUCGAUUGGUCGGCUAGUUGGCUUCACCGCUGACUGGCUGGCCGACGGACAGGAGGGUGGGGUGGAUGGGUCAGGUGGGCAGGAUCGAGGAUAGGUGAGCGGACGGCGCGGUGGUGCUGCGGUGUUACCGUGGGCUAUCGUGCGCUUCCUGUCAACGAGCUGCUGUUGUCUGCUGUGCUGUGACCGCACUGUUGGUGGCUUGGCGGGCUGCGGUGGUGUAGGUGACUGUGCAGGGCAUCGGUUUUAUCCGCCUCAUUCGUUCGUUCGUUCGUCUCUUCGAAUGCACGGGCGGUUAGGGUGUCCGGCACGCACGUCACAGGUGCAGUGGAGUGGGGCGCGCGGCUGUUUAUCGGCGUGGGGCGUGGCUGCCGUAUUGCCUGCAAAAUGCGGGUUCGCCGGUGGUCCGUCGUCGCGUAUCGCGGUGAGAGGGUUCGCGUUGCCUCGGGUGCAUGGGGUACCGGGGGUGGGAUAGUCGGUGGUGCGGUGGUAGACUAGCCACCCGACCCGUCUUGAAACACGGACCAGGGAGUUUAACAUGUGUGCGAGUCAAAGGGUGUGCUCGAGACCCCGAAGCGUAGUGAAAGUGAAGUCUGCGUCGUACGCGCGGUGCGGCGGGGUGAGAUCCUGCUGUCAGGGUGCGGCCGGCCAGGCCAGGCUGGUGCAGGCGGCCUAUCGAGCAGUGGGCGCAUCACCGGCCCGUCCCACGGUGUGGUCACUGGUGUGCGUUGGCGUGGUCGCGUGUGUGGCUGCGUCAGCUAGGCAGCCAGUGCGUCAUCGGGGCGGAGCGUGAGCAUGCAUGUUGAGACCCGAAAGAUGGUGAACUAUGCUUGCGUAGGUUGAAGCCAGAGGAAACUCUGGUGGAGGACCGUAGCGAUUCUGACGUGCAAAUCGAUCGUCAAACGUGAGUAUAGGGGCGAAAGACUAAUCGAACCGUCUAGUAGCUGGUUCCCUCCGAAGUUUCCCUCAGGAUAGCUGGCACUCAUUAGCAAAAUCAGUUUUAUCCGGUAAAGCGAAUGACUAGAGGUGCUGGGCUCGAAACGAGCUCAACCUAUUCUCAAACUUUCAAUGGGUGAGAUGUCCAACUCGCUUAAGACGCGUGUAUUGCAGCGGGUGGAGUUGGGCGUUGAAUGUGCGGGUGCCAAGUGGGCCAUUUUUGGUAAGCAGAACUGGCGCUGUGGGAUGAACCAAACGCCCGGUUAAGGUGCCUAACGCUGACGCUUAUGAGAUACCACAAAAGGUGUUGGUUAAUAUAGACAGCAGGACGGUGGCCAUGGAAGUUGGCAUCCGCUAAGGAGUGUGUAACAACUCACCUGCCGAAUUGACCAGCCCUGAAAAUGGAUGGCGCUGGAGCGUCGGACCUACACCGGGCCGUCAUCGCAAGCUGGAUUGGUGGCUGUGCGUGUUUGCGUCAUGAUCCAGGCGUGGAGUGCGAUGCUGAGUAGGAGGGUCGCCGUGGUGAGCGUGGAAGCCGCAGACGUGAGUCGUGGUGGAGCUGCCACGGGUGCAGAUCUUGGUGGUAGUAGCAAGUAUUCAAGUGAGAACCUUGAGGGCCGAGGCGGAGAA
rnacentral:rRNA from 1 species